GAGGUGGAACAUAUUCCCUAAAUCGUGGCAUUUACAACAGCACGAUGAGAACUACGUCUGCGUUGUCAUUGCUAAUAGAAAAUUUUUGUCGCCCAAAGAGAAAAAUCGAAAGACGUCGAUGCUGACUCAUCGCACAUGAUUUCAAGAAUACGCGAUUCUAACAUUUUUCCACAUUGUUUUAUAUUGGGGAGCCAUGCCCGUGCACUGCGGCAGCCAUUUUUUCCCCCCGAUUGAUUGCGAGACGAGAAAAACCUCCACAUUUCGCUUCUUUUGGCGUUUCAAAAUUUUUCCACCAUCACGUGUUUUAACUUACCAAAUGUAUUUAAAUUCUGGAUGGACAUACGAUAAUAAGAAGCAACCACAGCUGAAAAUAAAAACCGUUUGCAAUGAUCUUUUUAUUGCGUUGAAUUACUGAAAAUUUUCACUUGAAUUUCUUGUAAACGUAUGACGUUUCGAAACGCUCCAGAUUAAUAAACGUAAA